GAUGAAGAACGUAGUGAAAUGCGAUACUUGGUGUGAAUUGCAGAAUCCCGUGAACCAUCGAGUCUUUGAACGCAAGUUGCGCCCGAAGCCAUUAGGCCGAGGGCACGCCUGCCUGGGCGUCACACGUCGUUGCCCCCCCAUCUACUCCUUCGGGAUUGCGGGGGGCGGAUGAUGGCCUCCCGUGCGCCUAGUCGCGCGGUUGGCAUAAAUGCCAAGUCCUCGGCGACGCACGCCACGACAAUCGGUGGUUGCGAAACCUCGGUUGCCCGUCGUGUGCGGUCGUCGCGCAUCGAGGGCUCGAAAAAAUUGCCGGGCUCCGGCUCGGCUUUCAACGCGACCCCAGGUCAGGCGGGGUUACCCGCUGAAUUUAAGCAUAUCAAUAAGCGGAGGA
rnacentral:misc_RNA from 1 species